AGAGUUUGAUCAUGGCUCAGAACGAACGCUGGCGGCAGGCCUAACACAUGCAAGUCGAGCGAGAUUUUCGGAUCUAGCGGCGGACGGGUGAGUAACGCGUGGGAAUAUGCCCUUCUCUAAGGAAUAGCCUCGGGAAACUGAGAGUAAUACCUUAUACGCCCAUGGACCGUGGAGGUUUAGGGGGAAAGAUUUAUCGCCAAAAGAUGGACCCGCGUUGGAUUAGCUAGUUGGUGAGGUAAUGGCUCACCAAGGCGACGAUCCAUAGCUGGUCUGAGAGGAUGGUCCCCCACACUGGUACUGAGACACGGACCAGACUCCUACGGGAGGCCGCAGUGAGAAAUAUUGGUCAAUGGGCGAAAGCCUGAACCAGCCAUACCGCGUGAAGGAUGAAGGCCUUAGGGUUGUAAAGCUCUUUUACCAGGGAUGAUAAUGACAGUACCUGGAGAAUAAGCUCCGGCUAACUCCGUGCCAGCAGCCGCGGUAAUACGGAGGGAGCUAGCGUUGUUCGGAAUUACUGGGCGUAAAGCGCGCGUAGGCGGCUUUCUAAGUCAGGGGUGAAAUCCCGGGGCUCAACCCCGGAACUGCCCUUGAAACUGGAUGGCUAGAAUACUGGAGAGGUAAGCGGAAUUCCGAGUGUAGAGGUGAAAUUCGUAGAUAUUCGGAGGAACACCAGAGGCGAAGGCGGCUUACUGGACUGAUACUGACGCUGAGGUACGAAAGCGUGUGGAGCAAACAGGAUUAGAUACCCUGGUAGUCCACGCCGUAAACGAUGAGAGCUAGUUGUCAGCAAGCAUGCUUUGUUGGUGACGCAGCUAACGCAUUAAGCUCUCCGCCUGGGGAGUACGGUCGCAAGAUUAAAACUCAAAGAAAUUGACGGGGGCCCGCACAAGCGGUGGAGCAUGUGGUUUAAUUCGAAGCAACGCGCAGAACCUUACCUACCCUUGACAUACCGAUCGCGUUUUCCAGAGAUGGAUUACUUCAGUUAGGCUGGAUCGGAUACAGGUGCUGCAUGGCUGUCGUCAGCUCGUGUCGUGAGAUGUUGGGUUAAGUCCCGUAACGAGCGCAACCCUCGCCAAUAGUUGCCAGCGGGUUUGGCUGGGCACUCUAGUGGGACCGCCGGUGUCAAACCGGAGGAAGGUGGGGAUGACAUCAAGUCCUCAUGGCCCUUACGGGUAGGGCUACACACGUGCUACAAUGGCAGUGACAGAGAGCUAAUCUCCAAA
rnacentral:rRNA from 1 species